CUACAGUGCCAGGGAUAGACAACCAUUUAGUUGACAAGAGACGGUAGUGUAAACAAGAUGAGAAGUUUUAUAAUCCUGGCUGUGUGUGUAGCUCUAGCGGCGAGUGAAAGUUGUCAGACAAUCAGCGACUGUACAGCUACAAGUUGUAAAUCAGCUACCUUAAGAUGUUAUCAUGGUCUUUGUACCUGUUCUACCCGCUGUACCCAGGACUCAGCAACAUGUCGAACCAAAGAAAACUGCAUCGAAACAGCUCAACACCAUCGUUGUAACUGUGCAUCGGAGUACCAUUGUAUUGAUAGCCAUUGCCAUUGUGGGUAUCCCAGCACGUAAUAAACAAUAUAGAAAUGUAUUACC